rnacentral:rRNA from 5 species
ACAACUUUAGGCGGUGGAUCACUCGGCUCGUGCGU